rnacentral:rRNA from 1 species
AUUGAACGCUGGCGGCAUGCCUUACACAUGCAAGUCGAACGGUAACAGGUCUUCGGAUGCUGACGAGUGGCGAACGGGUGAGUAAUACAUCGGAACGUGCCCGAGAGUGGGGGAUAACGAGGCGAAAGCUUUGCUAAUACCGCAUACGAUCUCAGGAUGAAAGCAGGGGACCGCAAGGCCUUGCGCUCACGGAGUGGCCGAUGGCAGAUUAGGUAGUUGGGGGGAUAAAAGCUUACCAAGCCGACGAUCUGUAGCUGGUCUGAGAGGACGACCAGCCACACUGGGACUGAGACACGGCCCAGACUCCUACGGGAGGCAGCAGUGGGGAAUUUUGGACAAUGGGCGAAAGCCUGAUCCAGCCAUGCCGCGUGCAGGAUGAAGGCCUUCGGGUUGUAAACUGCUUUUGUACGGAACGAAAAGACUCUGGUUAAUACCUGGGGUCCAUGACGGUACCGUAAGAAUAAGCACCGGCUAACUACGUGCCAGCAGCCGCGGUAACAC